GACGUAGGGCGCGAGCGUUGUCCGGAUUUAUUGGGCGUAAAGAGCUCGUAGGCGGUUUGUCGCGUCGUUCGUGAAAACUCACAGCUUAACUGUGAGCUUGCGGUCGAUACGGGCAGGCUAGAGUUCGGUAGGGGAGACUGGAAUUCCUGGUGUAGCGGUGAAAUGCGCAGAUAUCAGGAGGAACACCGGUGGCGAAGGCGGGUCUCUGGGCAACAACUGACGCUGAGGAGCGAAGGCGUGGGGAGCGAACAGG
rnacentral:rRNA from 1 species